rnacentral:tRNA from 1 species
GGAUGGGUGGCCGAGUGGUCGAAGGCGACGGUCUUGAAAACCGUUUUACGGGGAACCGUAACGCGGGUUCGAAUCCUGCCCCAUCCG